GAGUUUGAUCGUGGCUCAGGAUGAACGCUGGCGGCGUGCCUAACACAUGCAAGUCGAACGGAUCCAUAUUGAAACCUAGUGAUGUAUGGAUUAGUGGCGGACGGGUGAGUAACGCGUGGAUAACCUGCCGUAUACAGGGGAUAACACUUAGAAAUAGGUGCUAAUACCGCAUAAGCGCACGGUUCCGCAUGGAACAGUGCGAAAGACUCCGGUGGUAUACGAUGGAUCCGCGUCUGAUUAGCCAGUUGGCGGGGUAACGGCCCACCAAAGCGACGAUCAGUAGCCGGCCUGAGAGGGUGAACGGCCACAUUGGGACUGAGACACGGCCCAAACUCCUACGGGAGGCAGCAGUGGGGAAUAUUGCACAAUGGGGGAAACCCUGAUGCAGCGACGCCGCGUGAGUGAAGAAGUAUCUCGGUACGUAAAGCUCUAUCAGCAGGGAAGAAAAUGACGGUACCUGACUAAGAAGCCCGGCUAACUACGUGCCAGCCGCCGCCGUAAU
rnacentral:rRNA from 1 species